UAGUAUACAUCAAUAAAAUGAUAAUUGGAACGAUACAGAAACGAUUAACAUGCCCUGCGCGCAAGGAUGACACGCACAAAUCGAGAAAUAUACUUUUACUUA
rnacentral:snRNA from 1 species